GUCGCCAGAGCUGCUUUCCCAGCAGGCAGGCAGUUGAUCGCCGCUGGAGCACCGGCCGGGAGCGACGAAGCGCUUUCCACGUGCUGCCUCCAGGAGGGUUUCUGCGCUGAAGACGGUGUCUUGGUCUGACAGGAGCGUGGGCGCUGGGGAAGAGUAUGGGAGUUGGUGGACUCUGCAUAACAACAUUGGCUAAUUAUAGAAAUAAAUAAUGCAGUCUUUGAGGAUUCCUCUCAAUGGGAGAGUUCUGGCUGACCAAGGACCUAGUCUAAGAUAUGUACACAGGUGCCUUCACUUUCCCUUUAAACCAGGUGGUUGUUUUUUAGCAGCACAGUCUUCUUCCUCAAAUGUGGGAUUUUGUAAGGAUGAGUCUAAAUGAGUCUGCAUCAUCAUAAAGCAUAAGAAGGUAUUUCUGGCUGCUCAAUGCUUAUUCCUGCAGCUGUGAUCACCCUUGUGUCUGCCUUGUCCCCAGCCUUAUUUCUGUCUCAUUCCACCUUGCUACAGCCCUGCUCUGACCCUUGGCUUGUUUCCUGGCUCCAGCUCUGACCCUUGGCACUGACUCCUGGUUCCUAUUUCUGGCUCUAUUCAGUAGCUGGGUAACAGUUCUAACCCCUGGGCUGGCAUCCAGUUCUAACCACUAGGUCCUGGUCCGUCACUUGUGGGGGGAGAUUAGGGCUCCAGGACAGCAGAGGGUAGUAUUUAGUCCUAUAACAGAGUGCAUAUAAUUUAGUCAUUCAAGCAGAGAGUUUACUGCUGCUGCCAGUGAAACCUGUGGCAAAGCCCUGAUUCACUCUAAUGGUAACAGGAGCAGGUUCAAUAAUACAGGUGACUCUUUACAUGUGAAAAAUGUACAGUUGUGCAACAAAAGCCUUGCAAAGGUAUGAAAGUAGAAGUGUAUGCUCAUUAUUGCAAAAUGAAAACAAUAAACUUAAACUUUAAAAAAUCCUUACAAAGAAGAGUGACAUUUCUAUUCAGAACAAUUACAACCUCAAAAACAGGUUUUUUUGCACAUAGAAAGGGAUCACACAAAACUCUACAGGUGUUCCUUUACUCACCCUAUUGAAUUUGAAUAUUGCACUAAAAGAUGAUUUGUGUAACAUUUGUGCUGCACUAUCUGAGCACAACAAAAUAAAUGUCAGAGGGUGUCACCACCUUAAUUUUGAUGUUUUUUUUUCUUGAAUAUAGACUUUACAGUAUUUUGAGAUUUACAAAUAGAUUAUAAUGUAUGGAUUGGUCAACAGGCAAGCUAGUAAUAUUGCUUUCCUAAUGGCUCUAUAACAGAUGUUGCUCCUCCCUCAAUGUUAAAUUAUUAUUUUAUGAAAGGUUGUUACAUUUUAUCUGUACAGUACUGUUUUUCUAGGUAGCGUGUUUGCAUACUGUGUGUUUUGUUGCAAAAAGUCAAUUACUACAAAAUAAACAAUAAUAUGUUUGCAGCUUAUGGUACCUUUGGUGUACUGAGAUAAUGUACUCCCCAGAGAAGUCUGAAUAUAUUAUUUUACUGAACUACUGCUUGGUUAUUUUGAUUUUUCAGUAUUCUUGUGUCCUUCCAAUGGCUAGCAAUAAGAAAGAGUUAUUGGGGAAUUAUUUGAUCUCUUUGUGAACCAGGGAGUGUGAGCAGGAAAGUGCUAUG